rnacentral:tRNA from 1 species
GGAUUGUGGCUCAGUGGUAGAGCACUUGCCUAGCACAUAUGCAGUACUGGGUUCAAUUCUCAGCACCA